rnacentral:rRNA from 1 species
UACGUAGGGUGCAAGCGUUAAUCGGAAUUACUGGGCGUAAAGCGUGCGCAGGCGGUUUUGUAAGUCUGUCGUGAAAUCCCCGGGCUCAACCUGGGAAUUGCGAUGGAGACUGCAAGGCUAGAAUCUGGCAGAGGGGGGUAGAAUUCCACGUGUAGCAGUGAAAUGCGUAGAGAUGUGGAGGAACACCGAUGGCGAAGGCAGCCCCCCUGGGUCAAGAUUGACGCUCAUGCACGAAAGGCGUGGGGAGCAAACGAGG